GACGAACGCUGGCGGCGUGCUUAACACAUGCAAGUCGAACGGUGAUGCGGAGCUUGCUCCGCGGAUCAGUGGCGAACGGGUGAGUAACACGUGAGUAACCUGCCCUCGACUCUGGGAUAAGCGUUGGAAACGACGUCUAAUACCGGAUACGACCCGUGGAGGCAUCUCCUACGGGUGGAAAGAGUUUCGGUCGAGGAUGGACUCGCGGCCUAUCAGCUUGUUGGUGAGGAAUGGCUCACCAAGGCGACGACGGGUAGCCGGCCUGAGAGGGUGACCGGCCACACUGGGACUGAGACACGGCCCAGACUCCUACGGGAGGCAGCAGUGGGGAAUAUUGCACAAUGGGCGCAAGCCUGAUGCAGCAACGCCGCGUGAGGGAUGAC
rnacentral:rRNA from 1 species